rnacentral:rRNA from 1 species
UACGGAGGGUGCAAGCGUUAAUCGGAAUUACUGGGCGUAAAGGGCGCGUAGGCGGUACGUUAGGUCUGCCGUGAAAUCCCCGAGCUCAACCUGGGAAUGGCGGUGGAAACCGGCGCACUAGAGUAUGGGAGAGGGUGAUGGAAUUCCAGGUGUAGCGGUGAAAUGCGUAGAGAUCUGGAGGAACAUCAGUAGCGAAGGCGGUCAUCUGGCCCAAUACUUACGCUGAGGCGCGAAAGCGUGGGGAGCAAACAGG